UACGUAGGGUGCAAGCGUUACUCGGAAUUACUGGGCGUAAAGCGUGCGCAGGCGGUUUUGUAAGUCUGUCGUGAAAUCCCCGGGCUCAACCUGGGAAUUGCGAUGGAGACUGCAAGGCUAGAAUCUGGCAGAGGGGGGUAGAAUUCCACGUGUAGCAGUGAAAUGCGUAGAGAUGUGGAGGAACACCGAUGGCGAAGGCAGCCCCCUGGGAUAACACUGACGCUCAUGCACGAAAGCGUGGGGAGCAAACAGG
rnacentral:rRNA from 1 species